rnacentral:misc_RNA from 1 species
AAUAGUCCAUACUCCUCAAACAUUUCUAAUACAAAUUUUCUUUGAGAAAUUAUUAUGCCUUUGGAGGAUCUAGCAAUUUCUAAGCCAAGAAAAUACUGAAGAUUACUAAGAUCCUUCAACUUGAAAUAAGAAGUCAAUACAAUUUUGAGUUGAUCAAUCAACAAUUUACUAGUACUCCCAAUUAUUAUAUCAUCAACAUAAACCAAUAAUGCCACAAACCACCACUUGAUUGCUUAGUGAAUAGAGAAUAGUCAGAUUUUGACUGACUAAAACCUUUAAUAAAGUCUCUAUGAAUUUCAGAUUCCACUGCCUUGACGCUUGUUUCAAGCCAUACAAUGAUUUUUGCAAUUUACAAACCAACUUAGACUUUUUUGUAUACUCCCCCUUAACCUCAUAACCUUGAGGAAUAUCCAUAUACACCUCCUCUAGAAGCUCCCCAUUAAGGAAAGCAUUGUUAACAUCAAGUUGAGACAAAUACCAAUCUUGGACAGCAGCAAGAGCCAAAAAGAUUCUCACAGUAGCAUGUUUAGCUACUGGACUAAAAGUUUCUUGAUAAUCAAAACCAGCCCUUUGAGUGUAACCCUUAGCAACAAGCCGAGCCUUGUACCUUUCUAUGGUACUAUCAGAUUUAAAUUUAACUUUAUAAACCCACUUACAUCCCACAGGUUUAGCUCCAGCAGGCAGAGUAGUAACAACCCAUGUUUUGUUAGCUUCCAAGGCAUCAAGUUCACAUUUCAUGGCUUCCUUCCAAUGAUCAAAUUGAAUUGCUUGGUAAUAUGUAUGAGGUUCAAAAGUGGAAGUAACAUUGAGAAUAAAAGAUUUAAAACGAGGUGACAAAUUAUCAUAGGACACUCAUUUAUGAAUAGGAUAAAGAGUGAUACAUGAUGCAGAUGAGACAUGUGGAGAAUACUUCAAAUGAACAUGAUAAUCAUGAAGUUAUGUGGGUAAUUCACUUUGUCUAGAACUUCUUCUCAAAGGGACUGCAGGUGAUGGAUCAAUAGGUAAUGGAUCAAUAGACAAAGAAGAAGAGGAAAUAGGAACAGAAGUAUGUGAACUACUAGUGUAAAAAGACUAAUCAGAAUGUAAAAUAGGAGAAUUAGGACAAGAAGAAGAAGAUUGAGAUAAGGAAGAAGGAAGAAACUGUGAAGGAAAAGCAUGUGGAAGAAUAGGCAAAACUAAAUUAGAGACAUUAGUGAAAUUGUUGGACAAAUAGGAAGAAUAAUUGGAUUGAAAAGGAAAAAUGGACUCAUGAAACACAACAUCCCUUAAGACAAAACAGGUUUUAGUAUCAAGAUCAUAAAGCAAAUAGCCCUUGACAUCCACAGGAUAGCCAAUCAUAAUACACUUCCUAGCCCUUGCAUCAAACUUGCUUCGAUGUGCUAUAAGAUUGGAGGCAAAACAUAGACAACCAAAAGAUCUCAAGAAAGUAUAUGCAGGA